GACGAACGCUGGCGGCGUGCUUAACACAUGCAAGUCGAACGGAAAGGCCCUGCUUUUGUGGGGUGCUCGAUUGGCGAACGGGUGAGUAACACGUGAGUAACCUGCCCUUGACUUUGGGAUAACUUCAGGAAACUGGGGCUAAUACCGGAUAGGAGCUCCUGCUGCAUGGUGGGGGUUGGAAAGUUUCGGCGUUUGGGGAUGGGCUCGGGGCUUAUCAGCUUGUUGGGGGGGUAGUGGCUUACCAAGGCUUUGACGGGUAGCCGGCCUGAGAGGGUGAGCGGCCACCUUGGGACUGAGAUAAGGCACAGGCUCCUACGGGAGGCAGCAGUGGGGAAUAUUGCACAAUGGGCGGAAGCCUGAUGAAGCAACGCCGCGUGCGGGAUAACGGCCUUCGGGUUGUAAACCGCUUUCGCCUGUGACGAAGCGUGAGUGACGGUAAUGGGUAAAGAAGCACCGGCUAACUACGUG
rnacentral:rRNA from 1 species